rfam:Rattus norvegicus chromosome X, whole genome shotgun sequence.
GGGGAUUUAGCUCAGUGGUAGAGCGCUUGCCUGAGAGGCACAAGGCCCUGGGUUCGGUCCCCAGCUCCG